CCGGCUGCCUCCCCACCUCGGGGGUGUCCCCUGAGCGCUGCCAUCCGCCUCCACCGCUGUGCCCGGGCCUCUGGCAGCGGUGCAAAGGCCGCCUCGGAGAAGGGAGACCCUCCGCAGAGCCUGCUUGCUGAGGUCCUGUGCUGGAGGAGUGCUUUGGCAAAAGCUUUAGGUCGUCUGGACCUGUGUCUGCCUCCACCAUCACCCUGACCUCAUAGCUGAUGGGAAAAGCAGCCUCUUCUCCGGUCUCAGCAUCUGGACAAGAAGAGUUUCCAGCCCUACCUGUCCAGCGUUCCCAGCCGUCCAUCCCCCGAGGAGGAUGAAGCCGCAGCUACCCCAGUCCUUCUUGGGGGAUUUAGGUGAAGCACCUGCACCAGAAAAUCCAGGAUUUCACAGACCUGGAGAUCAUCAGAUUGAUGGGUUCACUGGAGUCUGCAGAACUCGAGGUGGAUGGCAGAGAGCAUCUGUGAACAGACCCAACUCUGCAGGAUGGUGAAGCCUCAGCCAAGAAUCAUGUGCUCAGGGUGCCUGCCCCAGCUUGAGCAGCAGAGUUUGGGAUGGCCAGAGCAGCAAGUGGAGCUGAGCAGAGUUUGGGAUGGCCAGGGUAGAGUUUGGGAUGGCCAGAGCAGCAAGGGGAGCCGAGCAGAGUUUGCUGCUUCAGGAAGAAAAACCUCGGUGCCUCGCAGUGGCCAAGCGGCAGCGCUGCAGCUCAGUCACCCUCUGGAUGCCCCCGGUAAUUCCCACCCCUCACCCAGGAGCAAUCCCAGCCCUUCCCGAGCCCUUCCCCUGCCUCGGGAGUAGAAGAGGUGCAGCAGCUCCUGGCGGGUUGUGUGGCUGAGUUUUGAGGGUUCUGCUUUUUCUUGCUGUAGUUUUGAAACUUUCAGAGCUCACCCCUCACACCAAUGAUCCCUCCAAGUCCCCCCCUUACCUCCUCCCCAGGUGUCUGUCACAGAAUGCCAGGUUGGAAGGGAUCUCAAGGAUCAUCUGGUCUUUUGUAUUAUCAAAGAGCAUUAUUUUCACCCAUUAUUGUGAGCAAGAAUUCACAGAGAUUUCAAGAAUUGAUGCAAAGUUUGUGAUUUCUGGUGUCAUCUCUCUUCCCUCAGUUCUUUGCCACCUCUUGCUUCUCCUGCUCCCACCCCAAGCCCUCAGUUCCCCCCUCUGAUCACUGCAGGCUCCUGCAUGGGGUGCACCAUGCUCUCACAAAAGAAAAUGUAUUUAUGAAAAUCCCCUGGGACAAACCUGAUGAGUCAAGAGACCAUUUUUGAGAGGAGGCUUGGACUUU